rnacentral:rRNA from 1 species
UUGAACGCUGGCGGCAGGCUUAACACAUGCAAGUCGAGCGGGGGAAGGUAGCUUGCUACCGGACCUAGCGGCGGACGGGUGAGUAAUGCUUAGGAAUCUGCCUAUUAGUGGGGGACAACAUCUCGAAAGGGAUGCUAAUACCGCAUACGUCCUACGGGAGAAAGCAGGGGAUCUUCGGACCUUGCGCUAAUAGAUGAGCCUAAGUCGGAUUAGCUAGUUGGUGGGGUAAAGGCCUACCAAGGCGACGAUCUGUAGCGGGUCUGAGAGGAUGAUCCGCCACACUGGGACUGAGACACGGCCCAGACUCCUACGGGAGGCAGCAGUGGGGAAUAUUGGACAAUGGGGGGAACCCUGAUCCAGCCAUGCCGCGUGUGUGAAGAAGGCCUUAUGGUUGUAAAGCACUUUAAGCGAGGAGGAGGCUACUUUAGUUAAUACCUAGAGAUAGUGGACGUUACUCGCAGAAUAAGCACCGGCUAACUCUGUG